rnacentral:tRNA from 1 species
GCCCGGGUGGCUCAGUCAGUUGAGCGUCUGACUUCAGCUCAGGUCACGAUAUCACGGCUUGUGGGUUUGAGCCCCACGUCGGGCU